rnacentral:rRNA from 1 species
UACGGGGGGGGCUAGCGUUGUUCGGAAUUACUGGGCGGAAAGGGCGCGUAGGCGGUCUGCUAAGUUGGAUGUGAAAACUCUGGGCUUAACCCAGAGCCUGCAUUCAAUACUGACAGGCUAGAGUUCUGGAGGGGAUAGCGGAAUUCCUGGUGUAGCGGUGAAAUGCGUAGAUAUCAGGAGGAACACCGGUGGCGAAGGCGGCUAUCUGGACAGAGUCUGACGCUGAGGCGCGAAAGCUAGGGGAGCAAACAGG